UGAGUUGUGUCUCCGUGGUAGAGCGCACACCUAGCAUGUGCAAGGUGCUGGGUUCAAUCCUCAGCACCACAU
rnacentral:tRNA from 1 species